rnacentral:rRNA from 1 species
CGUGUAGGUGGCUUGGAAAGUUGGAUGUGAAAGCCCGGGGCCCAACCCCGGAAUUGCAUUCAAAACUUCCUCGCUAGAGUCCCGGAGAGGAAGGCGGAAUUCCCGGUGUAGAGGUGAAAUUCGUAGAUAUCGGGAGGAACACCAGUGGCGAAGGCGGCCUUCUGGACGGUGACUGACACUGAGACGCGAAAGCGUGGGGAGCAAACA